rnacentral:tRNA from 1 species
GGCGACGUGGCCGAGUGGUUUAGGCAAGGGCCUGCAAAGCCCUGUACCAGGGUUCGAUUCCCUGCGUCGCCUCUA